AUUAUCAACUUAGAGUAAAAUUUCUGAAAAAUCUCAUCCUCUUCCAAAGCAAACAAAAAAAAAAAAAAAAAAAAAAAAAAAAAAAAAAUCAAUCUGAAAAAUUUUAGUUUACUUUUCCAUCCUAAGUUCAUAAACCCCCAUGAUUUAGGUAGUUAGUAUUUAUAUUAGAAACCCCCAAUUUCAAUUUAGGGUUCUUAAAAAUUCAAUUGAGAUCUCUACAAAAUUAGUAUGAAAUAUGGGAGUUAAUUGAAGUGUUUUGGAUGAUUGUAGCUAUUGUAGAAGAAGGAGAACACAUCUAGUACUAUCACCAUCUCCAUCUCUUUUGGGUUAGAAGCUUUUUAUGGUUAAUUAAAGUAGCAUCAAGAGGAGACUAGUUUGAAGUUCAUCAAACCAUAGAAGAACUUGCUAGCUAAAGUGGAUCUUGGUUUUGAUUUUCUGAAAUUUUGUGCGGAAUUAAUCUUGCUCAAAGAUCCAUUUUCAGGUUAGCUCUGCGGUGGAGAGGAUGUCUACAUGUAAUAUGUGUUACGGGCGAGGCGAGGAUUUCUUUUGAAAUACAUUUUGUAAAUUAGUUAUUCGUAAAUUAAAUUGUAAUAAUUUCAUAAUAUUUUGUAAAUAUUAUUUACUUAUGUAUGUAAAAAGUUUUAAAUAACUCUGAUAUUAGUUGCUGUGAUCAUCAAAUCACAAGUCAUAU